GGACUGGAAAGACAUCUGUACGUGGUGCGUGGGCAGACAAUAUGACAUGGUUCAAAGGAGACCUGCUUGUACCCGACUCACUUAAGGAUGCCUUUGAUGGAGUUACUGCUGUGGUAUCUUGUGUUGGAGGCUUUGGCUCAAACUCUCAUAUGUAUAAAGUCAAUGGAACUGCAAAUAUUAAUGCUAU